CUUCACCGCGAGUAGCGCAUGGCAGGUAUGAACUCAUUCCCUUGGGUAUUGGCUCCCUUCUCUCUUCCGUCUUGACCUCUCGGCUCUCACUACUCAACCUCUUCUUCUUGAGUAGAGGUUAGGGCUCUGUCACUGUCUCUCUAUUUCUUUCCCUUUCCCUCUCCGAUCUCAUAGUCGCUGGUUUUUGAAUGUGUUCUGCUGAGAUAAGCUUCGUCGGUCUCAAUCUCUGGGCGUCACGGAGUUGUGGGAGUUACAUCGGUUUCAAGUCUCUGGACAUUUAGCAGAGGGUUCGGGAGCUGGCUGCCAUUAUUAAGUUACCGGAAAUGCUGGUUUUCGGUAUACGGGACGUGAAGGAGAGGUGUUUGAGGCCUUUGUUGGAGUUUCAAGUUUCAAAACAUCAAGUAAAAAGUCAUCUAGUAUUCUUUUGUUAUUUUGAGUUAUUUUUCACAAGUGAAGCAACUGACCUUAAGUUUAGUCCUACAUUGGAAACUUGUAGAAGUUUCUUUGGGUUUACAUACAUAGUAAUUAGUAUUUAAGAGACAUAGGGUUAGAGAAGUCUCUCUACUCUCUCAUGUGUGGGGAUUGUCAGAUGCUUUUUCAAUCACAUAUUCAGGUGCCCUGAGCCAAGCUUAGUCGGACCGGACCUUGGUUGAGGUCGGGGUUUGGGUAAGGGUGUGGAUCCUCCUUUGCCUUACUUUUUAGUUAAAAGUAUGACUCCAAAGUUCAAAAUUUCAGUAGAUUGAAUACGUAGGUACCUUACAUACCUUGUAUUAGUACACACCUAUACGUAUAUACACAUACUGUAGAGAGUAAUCCUAUAUGUGAAAGGACAUACCUGUAUGUACAGGUAUCUAUAGACAUAGGGUGCAUCUGUACAGGUACGUUUAAGCCUAUAAAUACCCCGUGCCUACAGGUUAGAAAGGUACAACAAAUCCAGAGAGUAAUUUCUUAGUGUACAAAGUUUGUCUGUAUACUGUUAUACUAAAUCGUUUCUGUACUAUCUUCUAGUCCACUUCUUCUUUCCUCUCUUUUUGAGUUCUCAGUAUAGCUUAUAGACUCCCUUUGUAAUCACACUUGGGAGUGCAAAACCUUUGUGAUUAGGGGGUGAUUUUAUAUUGAAGGUAAAAAAGUGGGUCAACCCUGUAUGCGCAAAUUAGGGGCUCUUUAACACCUUAAGGAGAGUAUAUACAUACAACUUCACCCUAUUGUACAUGUGUACGAAAUCUUCUACUUCAACUACUGUACUUGAUCUCUACAACAUACAAGGACUACAGCUCAAGGUCUCUUCCUUUACACUCUUAUUACAUUACAAAUAAAUUUAACAUUGCUCUUUUAAUUAUUCUUUUACAACAAUCUCACUUGAUGUGUCAUCUUGAAUGAACCUCGUUUCUUAGUCUAAACAAGAUUAGCCUUGAGUCUUGUAUAUCCAAGAGGUUUUUCUCAUAUCUGACCCUAUUCCUUUCCUCAAUUUUAAUUUUGAUAACAACUUGCUCAAACGUCCAUUCCUUCCUCUUGUGUUUCAUAUUCAAUUUAAAUGUAAUCAAAGAGGUUGGAAGUUUUUCAAGUAGUGCUCCAGUCACAAAUGCAUCAGGAAAUAUAAUAUUUUCCCUAGACAAGUUUCCAAUGGAAUUUAUCUAUUUGGGAAGAAAUAUUUUCACCAUCUUGCAUUUGAAAAUUAAGUAAAUUAGCCACCACAUACUUUCUUUGUUCCUCAUCAUCAAGUGUGUACUUGUUACAGAAAGCAUUCUAUAUCAUAAAUGCAUAGUCUAAGACUCUAAGGAAUUAUACACACUAUAAAGAUUAUUAGAGAGUGCAUUAAGAAUACGAUUCUUACAUUGAAAGUUUGCAUGUACCCAAGCAAUCCUCUUUGCAUCCAAAACUAGAUCCUCACUUGGAUCUGGUUUGGUUCAAACAAUGUAAAAAAGCAACUCCCAAUUGAGUGAGAGCAAAGAACAUCAUUGCUUCCACCGCUUAAAUUUCUCUCCAUCAAACUGAGUUAUAUGAUCAAGUUCAGAAUUGAUUCUCAGUUUCUCCAUUCUAGGUUGAAUGGAAUUUUAACAUUAGUUACCCUAGGAUUGAUUUGAGAUGCAGUAAAACCAGUAUUUGGUAGUAUCUCAUUGGCAGCAGGACCGUCAUUCGAUCCAUCCUUAUCAAUGACGUUAAUGGGUAUUUCUUUACCAGCCAUAUCCAACACAUAAAAUACUAACACCUUAAGAUUGUUGUAAAUAAAAAAUUAAAAGAGCAAUGUUAGACUUAUUUGUAAUGUAAUAAGACUGUAAAUGAUGUACAUAACUUGAGUUGUAGUCCUUGUAUGUUGUAGAGAUCAGGUACACUAGAUGAAGUAGAAGAUUUCGUAUACAGGUACAAUAGGGUGAAGUCGUAUGUACUCUCCUUAAGGUGUUAAAGAGCCCCUAAUUUGUACAAAGUUCUUUUACCUCCAAGAUAAAAUCACCUCCUAAUCACAAAGAUUGCACUCCCAAGUGCGAUUACGAAGGGAAUCCACAAGCUAUAUUAAGAACUCAAAAAGAGAGGAGAGAAAAAGAAGUAGUUUGGAAGUUAGUACAAAAACAAUUUGGUUUAAUAAUAUACAGACAAACUUUGUAACCCACGAAAUUACUCUCUGGAUUUGUUGUACCUUUCUUGCCUGUAGGCACUGGGUAUUUAUAGGCUGAAACGUACUUGUAUAUACAGGUAUGUCCUUUCACAUAUAGGAUGUAUUUGUAUUUACUCUUUACAAUAUGUGUAUAUACGUAUAAAGCCUAAACUUUUGAUUAAAAAGUAAGACAAAAGAGGACCUACACUCGAACCCCGACCUCAGUUGCGGCUCGGCUCGGCUCGGCUCGGCUCGGCUCGGCCCGUGUGAUUAAAGAAGCACCCUGAAAACCCCCACAUAUGAGAAAGUAGAGAAACUUCUCUCUAAGGAACCCUAUGUCCCCAAAGACUACUUCCUAUAUAUAUACCCAAAGAAACUUUUACAAGUUUCCAAUGUGGGACUAAACUUAAGCUCACUUUCUUCACUUGUGAAAAAGAACUCAAAGAACAAAAGAAUAGUAGAUAACUUUUCACUUGAUGGUUUGAAACUUAAAACUCCAACAACCCUUCUUGUAGUGGUUAGCUUGCUAGUGCUGUCAGCAUUGGGUCUUAUUUUUUUUUUGGUCAAGCAUUUGACGUUCAAAAUCAUGCUUCAUAAUUAAGCUAAGAACAUCAUAAUGACUUGAAAGCUUUUCAGUCGAUGGUUUUUUAUUUUGGAGUGAAGGUAAAGGUAUUUUCGAACCGGCCCUUCUACUUUCUCAUUUUAUGCUCAGGAAAAUGUCUGAGAGAUGUUAGCUUCAGUAGUCCUUUCCUUGAAAUUUGGAAUUUGGAUGAGGGGUUAAGUAGAGUGGAAAAUGUGUGUACAAGAUACAAGGAUUGGAUUCCUCUGGCCCUUUUUUUUUUGUGCCAAAAGAUGUCAUACAUAUUUUAGUUAUUGCAGUUUAUUUUCCCUGUGGAAAGGCUGGCAUGAGAUAGUCUCUUUAUAGUUGUCAAGGUGUCACCUAGGUGUCCAGGCGCCUUGGUUGCCCUGGUGGUGUCGCCUUGAGUCUAGGCCCCUUCCAACGCCUUGGGUCACUUAGAAGCUGUGACAACUAUGGUCUCUUACCUAUUCAAACAUGAGUUCUAACCUACAACAACAACAAACAACAACAGGCUCAGCCUUAUCCCAACUUAAUGGGGUUGGCUGCAAGGAUAUGUGCAAAACAAAGUAGCGAAAAAUGAGCUCCAAACAAGAGUUCUAAACUAAUCAAUUGGAAAUUUUGAUGUUUAAUCUCAAUUUGGCAGUUCAGCGCUCGUACCUCCGUUUGUAUUCCUGCUAAGGAGGUGCUGAUGAGGAGUCAGCAUUACAAUGUCAGGCAGGCCAUGAGCUGUAACUUCAUGGUUUUAUGUCUGUGGUUGCCACUCUGAAUAGGCCUCAUUCAAGUACUUGUCUGAGAUUGGAUAUAUGUUAUCAGGUUUCAACCUGAGAUUUUUCUGGGGGGUGGUGAUGGUGGUGGGGGUUGAGGGGGAACCUUUUGGUUAAGAAUGAGACAUAAAAUACUAGAGUUAACAAGUUGUUUAUUAUUAUUAUUUUUUUGAGCUGUGAAUCAAAAGUUUAACACAAAGGAUUCAUGUUUUCUGAUACUAUUUUUACUUUUGUCAUUAAAUAUUAGUCCAAUUCUUUAGUCCAAUCCUUUCACAGUUUUCUUACUUUGAAUUUUCAUAAUUCCUUAGCCUUACUUUCUCUUAGUAACAUAGUCUUUCAUUGGAAGUAGAGAAGAAUUCCCUAUAGGGACCUAAAUCACCAAUGGAGGAAAAAUCCGAUUUGGGGCGUUUACCACAAAUUCUUUUAUGGCUGUUUUUCCUAAACAGAUUGCGUUAUUCUCCAUUUUCUCCAUUUCCUACGAUCUCAGAGAUGAUGAUGAGGCGGAGACCCAAUACUGCUAUUUUACUGACUGAAGAACAAACUGAAAACUCUUGUCAUCCAAAAGGAGAAACCCAUCAUACCUCAACCUUUGAUUUGUUUUCUUCAUCAAAGAGAGUUUUAGCAAUUUGCUUGGCUUUCCGUGUGGUGAAUUCUUUGCUGGUGCAGACAUAUUUCAACCCAGAUGAGCACUGGCAAGCUCUUGAAGUUUCUCAUCGCUUAGUCUUUGGAUAUGGCCAUUUAACAUGGGAAUGGAAGGAGGGUAUUCGUAGUUAUCUGCAUCCAAUGGUUUUUGUGCUUCUUUAUAAAGUUCUUGCCUUCUUUCAUCUUGAUACCCCCUGGUUCAUGAUGAAGGCUCCACGUAUGCUACAGUCAUUAUUUUCCUCAGUUGGUGAUUUCUACUUGUACAAGCUUUCCCGUAUUAUUUUUGGUGAUCGUGUUGCACGGUGGACUCUCUUUUCUCAGUUCACAAACUGGUUUAUGUUUUUCUGUUUCACUCGAACCUUAUCGAAUAGCUUGGAGACAGUCCUUAUGAUCGUCAGCCUAUACUAUUGGCCCUGUUUCAAGGGUUCUGACCAAGUUUCUGUUGCUUCAAGAAAGUAUGGUUUGGCCAUAGCAGCACUAGCCUGUGCUCUUCGACCAACAAGUGCUAUCAUAUGGUUAUAUGUUGGCCUUUUGGAGCUGGUUGGAACACGCAAUAGACUGAAAUUCAUAUUCCUUGAGGUAGCCCCUAUAGGGUUCUUGGUGCUAAUCCUCACGUGUUUAUUGGAUCGGUUGAUGUAUGGCUCGUGGGUCUUGGUUCCUCUUAAUUUUCUGAAGUUCAACUUUCUCUCUUCGGGUGGCGACUAUUAUGGGACGCACAAGUGGCACUGGUACUUCACCCAGGGCUUUCCUGUCAUGCUCUUCACUUUUGUGCCAUUUACUGUAGCUGGCAUCUUUCAAUCUAAAGAAUGGAAGCUUUCUGGUCUGAUUGCAUGGGUUUUGGGACUUUACAGUGUGCUUGGUCACAAAGAAUUCAGGUUUGUCCUUCCUGUGCUUCCGUUGGCUUUGAUGUUUUCUGGAUAUUCAUUAGCUGCAAUGGAAACUCCUCAUUCUUCAGAGGGUAAAAAGAAAAGACCACUGAAUUUCCACGUUAGAUGUCCUUCGAGAAUGCAGAUGGCUGUAUUUUUUCUUCUUGCAACUAAUAUCCCGAUGGCAUUAUAUAUGAGUUUAGUCCAUCAGCCAGAGAGGAAGCGAAGAUGUUAUGAACUUUUUAUCCAAAGAAGCUCUUGAUGAGAAAGUGAAGAGUAUCCUUUUCUUAAUGCCCUGUCAUGCCACACCUUACUACUCGACCCUACAUUACAACAUUUCCAUGCGUUUCUUGGAUUGCUCUCCAGGUGCAGAGAAAGGAGUUUUAGAUGAGUCAGACCGCUUCAUGAUGGAUCCAGCUCAUUUUGUGGCUGAUAUGGCAAAGAAUUGGUCUUUACCUAGUCACAUAGUAUUAUUUGAUCCACAAGAAA